CCAGAAUCGGAGAGAAGAAAUAUACACUGCAGCAUCUCUGUUCAAGCAGACAAUCUGUCAGCUGAAGGUCUUUCUCGGGUUGGGAAGGCUAGAGGCAAUGUCUCCAGUGAUAGGGGAUGUUUGGAUCGGCAGGAGUUGGCCGGCUUGAGUCGGUCCCUUUCCGUCUCUCUAUCGACUUUGCGACAUUUAGUGAAGCCGAUGAUG
rnacentral:misc_RNA from 1 species